rnacentral:rRNA from 1 species
GGUUGCGAUCAUACCAGCACUAAUGCACCGGAUCCCAUCAGAACUCUGCAGUUAAGCGUGCUUGGGCGAGAGGAGUACUAGGAUGGGUGACCCCCUGGGAAGUCCUCGUGUUGAAACCC